GCUUAUUCUCAGGGCGGGGUGUAAUUCCCCACCGGCGGUAAACCAGGCGUAUAUUCCGUAUACGUGCUGGAAGCCCGCGAGCGCUCAUGGUUGGUUUGCCAGCAACAAUGGUUGGUUUUUCCCGCGUGAGGUCAGCAGAUCCGGUGUAAUCCCGGAGCCGACGGUUAGAGUCCGGAUGGGAGAGAGUAACG
rnacentral:ncRNA from 2 species